ACUCAAAUGAAUAGACGGGGGCCCGCACAAGCGGUGGAGCAUGUGGAUUAAUUCGAAGCUACGCGAAGAACCUUACCAAGGCUUGACAUGGGUGUGACCGGUGCAGAGAUGUGCCUUUUCUUCGGAACACACCACACAGGUGGUGCAUGGUUGUCGUCAGCUCGUGUCGUGAGAUGUUGGGUUAAGUCCCGCAACGAGCGCAACCCUUAUGUUUAGUAGCCAUCGGGCAAGCCGGGCACAUUAGACAGACUGCCGUGGAGAACACGGAGGAAGGUGGGGACGACGUCAAAUCAUCAUGCCCCUUAUGUCUUGGGCUUCACACGUGCUACAAUGGGACACACAACGUGACGCAAAGGGGCGACCCGGAGCAAAUCACCAAAAGGUCCCUCAGUUCGGAUUGCAGGCUGCAACUCGCCUGCAUGAAGUUGGAAUCGCUAGUAAUCGCGAAUCAGCAUGUCGCGGUGAAUACGUUCCCGGGCCUUGUACACACCGCCCGU
rnacentral:rRNA from 1 species